UGGGGAAUCUUGGACAAUGGGCGCAAGCCUGAUCCAGCCAUGCCGCGUGAGUGAUGAAGGCCUUAGGGUUGUAAAGCUCUUUUGCCGGGGACGAUAAUGACGGUACCCGGAGAAUAAGUCCCGGCUAACUUCGUGCCAGCAGCCGCGGUAAUACGAAGGGGACUAGCGUUGUUCGGAAUCACUGGGCGUAAAGCGCACGUAGGCGGAUUUGUAAGUCAGGGGUGAAAUCCCGGGGCUCAACCUCGGAACUGCCUUUGAUACUGCGGACCUCGAGUCCGAUAGAGGUGAGUGGAAUUCCUAGUGUAGAGGUGAAAUUCGUAGAUAUUAGGAAGAACACCAGUGGCGAAGGCGGCUCACUGGAUCGGUACUGACGCUGAGGUGCGAAAGCGUGGGGAGCAAACAGGAUUAGAUACCCUCGUAGUCCCUGAGCGGGCUGGCAAGGCGCAU
rnacentral:rRNA from 1 species